GACGACGCUGGCGGCGUGCCUAACACAUGCAAGUCGAACGGGAUCCACGCCAUGAAGUUUCGGAUGGAUUGGUGUGGUGAGAGUGGCGAACGGGCGAGUAACGCGUGAGCAACCUACCUCGUACUGGGGGAUAACGUCGGGAAACCGGCGCUAAUACCGCAUAAGACUACGAUGCCGCAUGGCAAUGUAGUCAAAGCUCCGGCGGUACGAGACGGGCUCGCGUCCGAUUAGCUAGUUGGUAGGGUAAUGGCCUACCAAGGCGACGAUCGGUAGCCGGACUGAGAGGUCGGCCGGCCGCAUUGGGACUGAGACACGGCCCAGACUCCUACGGGAGGCAGCAGUGGGGAAUAUUGCGCAAUGGGGGAAACCCUGACGCAGCGACGCCGCGUGAAGGAAGAAGGCCUUCGGGUUGUAAACUUCUUUGAUCGGGGACGAAGGAAGACGGUACCCGAGGAACAAGCCACGGCUAACUACGUG
rnacentral:rRNA from 1 species